rnacentral:rRNA from 2 species
GACCUCGGAUCAGACAGGGAUACCCGCUGAACUUAAGCAUAUCAAUA